UACAGGAUGGCUUGUCAAUACUGGCUGGGCAGGGGGCAGCUGUGGGUUGGGGAGCCGUAUCAAGUUAGCAUACACUCGGAAAAUCAUUGAUGCCAUACAUUCUGGGAGCCUUUUGAAGGCAAACUACAAAAAGACAGAAGUAUUCGGGCUUGAAAUCCCAACUGAGAUUGAGGGUGUGCCAUCAGAAGUCCUGGACCCUGUGAACACCUGGUCGGAUAAGAAGGCCUACAAUGAUACCCUAGUGAAGCUGGCUGGUCUGUUCAGGACAAACUUUGAGGUGUUCACAAAUUAUAAGAUUGGAAAAGACAGCAAGCUGACUGAGGAGAUACUUGCAGCUGGUCCUAUUUUCUAAUCAGAAUGCUUUCAUAAAAUGGCAGAUUGAGUGAAAUGUGAAGAAAUAA
rnacentral:misc_RNA from 1 species